UACGUAGGGGGGCAAGCGUUGUCCGGAAUUAUUGGGCGUAAAGAGCGUGUAGGCGGUCCGGUAAGUCAGCUGUGAAAGUCAAGGGCUCAACCCUUGAAAGCCGGUUGAUACUGUCGGGCUAGAGUCCGGAAGAGGCGAGUGGAAUUCCCGGUGUAGCGGUGAAAUGCGCAGAUAUCGGGAGGAACACCAAUGGCGAAGGCAGCUCGCUGGGACGGUACUGACGCUGAGACGCGAAAGCGUGGGGAGCGAACAGG
rnacentral:rRNA from 1 species